AAUGUGCCAAAUUUCAGACAGAAAUCUGGGCUGAGCAAAGAGAUCGAAGAAAUCUGGGCUGAACAAAAUUCUAUUUUGAUGAGCACACAACUUGGCACAUUAUGAAAUUGUUGGAAGUUGAGGGCAAGGAAAAAAUCAUGAAAGAAAAAUUGAGCAGCACUAUGGAAACCAAGCUGCACAUGAAGAAGCAAUUCAAGUCUUGAAGGAUUGAGUUACCAAAUGGGAGCCGGAAUAACCCCCAAUUGGUGGAAAUCAUGGAAUGGAGAAGUUGAGCUAAAGGGUUGAGUUGAUUUGGAAUGGCUGGCAUAGGAAACAUUAUCCGUAGUCCUGCACUUUUGGCCCUCUCAUGUCGGCAUGCAGUCACUAUGAGUACCUUCCGAGGUUGGAUGUCUGAACAAGGGAUACUCUCUUAUCCUCACGCGGAGAUGGUCCCGCUCUCACCUGUUUCGUUCGUUACACAUCACCAUUUUCCAGUAUCUGGAAAGGGAUCUUCUACUUCGAGUGGGUGGAUUUCGUAGAUCCCGGCUUGGUGACGGACUUGGUUCCCAAGAUCGUAGCAUACACUGCAGAAAAGACGAAGGAACUAAUUAGAGUAGAUGUUACAGAGAGGAAGAGGGCUACACCUAGAUUACAAGACUAGGCCUUUACGACUACAUGGAAGGCCUCUUGAAAAGACCACACCCUUUGAUCACAUGCUUGUUCGGAAGGCACGAGGUAACUGGAAUGCCAAUAGUCUAGGGAGCUGAUACAUGAAGAAGUGGGAGCGAAGAUCCUUGAACCUUGAUGCUGUAAUCCUAGCGGUUUCAGAGAUGAAUGUCGAUCCUGGUGAGGGAGGUCUGAGCAAAGAACUGCAUGGAUCUUGAGGAUGUCUGGAUUCUGGGAAGACCCCUAGAUGGAGACCUUGGAGUAGACAACUACUCUAGGCGUGGUUACCCGGCAAUGCAUUGUUGGGCCUCGAAAACAUGCAGUCCAUUUGUUUAGGGUGUGUUUGGUUUGAUAACUAAGUGGGAUGUAAUGUCAUUUUCCAUUCCACAAGAAUGUCGUGAUCCGCAGGUGGAGAAAACCUGGUUUUGUUAAUCAGGUCCAGGUCCAAUCGCGUUAGAUUUUAUCUUGGCAGCUGCAUGUCAAGUGUAACCAUGUCUCAAACGCGUUGGUGCAAUCUUGGCCGCAUCCCACAUGCUGGAUACA